rnacentral:rRNA from 1 species
GUCUAUAGCCAUACCAGCUUGAACAUGAAUGAUCUCAUCUGAUCUCAGAAGCUGAGCAGAAUUGGGCCUGGUUAGUACUUGGAUGGGAAGAAGCACCUGCAUUCAAUUGUAU